rnacentral:rRNA from 1 species
AAUAGAUACCCAGGUAGUCCACGCCGUAAACGAUGAGUGCUAAGUGUUAGGGGGUUUCCGCCCCUUAGUGCUGCAGCUAACGCAUUAAGCACUCCGCCUGGGGAGUACGGUCGCAAGACUGAAACUCAAAGGAAUUGACGGGGGCCCGCACAAGCGGUGGAGCAUGUGGUUUAAUUCGAAGCAACGCGAAGAACCUUACCAGGUCUUGACAUCCCAUUGACCACUAUGGAGACAUAGUUUUCCCUUCGGGGACAACGGUGACAGGUGGUACAUGGUUGUCGUCAGCUCGUGUCGUGAGAUGUUGGGUUAAGUCCCGCAACGAGCGCAACCCUUGUUCUUAGUUGCCAUCAUUUAGUUGGGCACUCUAAGGAGACUGCCGGUGACAAACCGGAGGAAGGUGGGGAUGACGUCAAAUCAUCAUGCCCCUUAUGACCUGGGCUACACACGUGCUACAAUGGACGGUACAAACGGUUGCCGACCCGCGAGGGGGAGCUAAUCCGAUAAAACCGUUCUCAGUUCGGAUUGUAGGCUGCAACUCGCCUACA